AGUGAACGCUGGCGGUAGACCUAACACAUGCAAGUCAAACGGCAGCACAGUAAGAGCUUGCUCUUACGGGUGGCGAGUGGCGGACGGGUGAGGAAUACAUCGGAAUCUACUUUUUCGUGGGGGAUAACGUAGGGAAACUUACGCUAAUACCGCAUACGACCUACGGGUGAAAGCAGGGGAUCUUCGGACCUUGCGCGAUUGAAUGAGCCGAUGUCGGAUUAGCUAGUUGGCGGGGUAAAGGCCCACCAAGGCGACGAUCCGUAGCUGGUCUGAGAGGAUGAUCAGCCACACUGGAACUGAGACACGGUCCAGACUCCUACGGGAGGCAGCAGUGGGGAAUAUUGGACAAUGGGCGCAAGCCUGAUCCAGCCAUACCGCGUGGGUGAAGAAGGCCUUCGGGUUGUAAAGCCCUUUUGUUGGGAAAGAAAAGCAGCAGGUUAAUACCCCGCUGUUCUGACGGUACCCAAAGAAUAAGCACCGGCUAACUUCGUG
rnacentral:rRNA from 1 species